rnacentral:rRNA from 1 species
AGUGAACGCUGGCGGUAGGCCUAACACAUGCAAGUCGAACGGCAGCACAGUAAGAUCUUGCUCUUACGGGUGGCGAGUGGCGGACGGGUGAGGAAUACAUCGGAAUCUACUUUUUCGUGGGGGAUAACGUAGGGAAACUUACGCUAAUACCGCAUACGACCUACGGGUGAAAGCAGGGGAUCUUCGGACCUUUCGCGAUUGAAUGAGCCGAUGUCGGAUUAGCUAGUUGGCGGGGUAAAGGCCCACCAAGGCGACGAUACGUAGCUGGUCUGAGAGGAUGAUCAGCCACACUGGAACUGAGACACGGUCCAGACUCCUACGGGAGGCAGCAGUGGGGAAUAUUGGACAAUGGGCGCAAGCCUGAUCCAGCAAUACCGCGUGGGUGAAGAAGGCCUUCGGGUUGUAAAGCCCUUUUGUUGGGAAAGAAAAGCAGCAGGUUAAUACCCCGAUGUUCUGACGGUACCCAAAGAAUAAGCACCGGCUAACUUCGUG